AGCGAACGCUGGCGGCAGGCUUAACACAUGCAAGUCGAACGGGCACUUCGGUGCUAGUGGCAGACGGGUGAGUAACACGUGGGAACGUACCUUUCGGUUCGGAAUGAUCCAGGGAAACUUGGACUAAUACCGGAUACGCCCUUCGGGGGAAAGAUUUAUCGCCGAAAGAUCGGCCCGCGUCUGAUUAGCUAGUUGGUGAGGUAAAGGCUCACCAAGGCGACGACCAGUAGCUGGUCUGAGAGGAUGAUCAGCCACACUGGGACUGAGACACGGCCCAGACUCCUACGGGAGGCAGCAGUGGGGAAUAUUGGACAAUGGGCGAAAGCCUGAUCCAGCCAUGCCGCGUGAGUGAUGAAGGCCUUAGGGUUGUAAAGCUCUUUUGUCCGGGAAGAUAAUGACUGUACCGGAAGAAUAAGCCCCGGCUAACUUCGUGCCAGCCGCCGCCGUAAAAC
rnacentral:rRNA from 1 species